rnacentral:rRNA from 1 species
AUUGAACGCUGGCGGCACGCCUAACACAUGCAAGUCGAGCGGUAGCAGGACCUGUAGCAAUACAGGUUGCUGACGAGCGGCGGACGGGUGAGUAAUACGUAGGAACUUGCCUUUUAGUGGGGGAUAACUAAGGGAAACUUUAGCUAAUACCGCAUAUUCUCGAGAGAGGAAAGCUGCCGUAAGGUGGCGCUAGAAGAGAGGCCUGCGUCCGAUUAGCUAGUUGGUGAGGUAAGAGCUCACCAAGGCGAUGAUCGGUAACUGGUCUGAGAGGACGACCAGGCACACUGGGACUGAGACACGGCCCAGACUCCUACGGGAGGCAGCAGGGGGGAAUAUUGGACAAUGGGGGCGACCCUGAUCCAGCGAUGCCGCGUGAGGGAAGAAGGCCCUCGGGUCGUAAAGCUCUUUAGGUUGGGAAGAAGGGUGUUGGAGGAAAUGCCAAUACUUUGACGGUACCGACAGAAUAAGCACCGGCAAACUCUGUGCCAGCAGCCGCCGUAA